AUUGCACGCUGGCGGCAGGCAUAACACAUGCAAGUCGAACGAGUGGCGGACGUGUGAGUAAUGUAUGGGAAAAUGCCCGAUGGAGGGGGAUAACUACUGGAAACGGUCGCUACUACCGCAUACCAUCGGUUGUGACCAGAUGGGAUUAGCUAGUAGGUGGGGUAAUGGCUCACCUAGGCGACGAUGCCUCGCUGGGCUGAGAGGAUGACCAGCCACACUGCGACUGAGAGACGGCCCAGACUCCUACGGGAGGCAGCAGUGGGGAAUUGUGGACAAUGGGGGAAACCCUGAUCCAGCCAUCCCGCGUGUGCGAUUAAGGCCUGAGGGUUGUAAAGCACUUUUGGCAGGAAAGCGGUACCUGCAGAAUAAGCACCGGCUAACUACGUGCCAGCCGCCGCGGUAAUAC
rnacentral:rRNA from 1 species